AGAGUACAUAAUGUGUAGGCUCCAUUUUCUUGAUCCUUCUAUUUUGGGUUUUUUUUUUAAAUUAUGUAGUUCAAAUUCUAUUUGAUUUACCAACUAUUCAACUUCAGGUAGAAGUUGUUGUGUUAAUGUUGAUGUCACAAUCUGAAAGAUGAUUUAGAGCAUUUAUAAUGUUUUAAACCUUCCUUCUACAACUUUUAUU
rnacentral:lncRNA from 1 species